rnacentral:rRNA from 1 species
GAUGAACGCUAGCGGGAGGCUUAACACAUGCAAGUCGAGGGGCAGCAUAGGGUAGCAAUACUCUGAUGGCGACCGGCAGACGGGUGAGUAACGCGUAUGUAACCUACCCUGUACAGGGGGAUAACCCGGAGAAAUUCGGACUAAUAUCCCAUGGAAAUAUUGAGAGGCAUCUUUUGAUAUUUAAAGUUCCGGCGGUACGGGAUGGGCAUGCGUAACAUUAGCUAGUUGGUAAGGUAACGGCUUACCAAGGCUUUGAUGUUUAGGGGUCCUGAGAGGGUGAUCCCCCACACUGGUACUGAGACACGGACCAGACUCCUACGGGAGGCAGCAGUGAGGAAUAUUGGUCAAUGGGCGCAAGCCUGAACCAGCCAUCCCGCGUGCAGGAAGACGGCGCUAUGCGCUGUAAACUGCUUUUCCAGGGGGACGAAACUUGCGUACGUGAUACGCAAUUGACGGUACCCUGGGAAUAAGCAUCGGCUAACUCCGUG